rnacentral:lncRNA from 7 species
CGUCUGCGUCGCCUGCUUGCCUCGGCGUGCUCAAGACAGACGCGCGAAGAGAGGGCGUGCAGUGGGGGCAGACAGGCAUCAUUGAUGGGCGUGCGCGCCGUGCGGCCGGUCAGUCCAGGCAGCCACCAAUGGCUGAGUUCCUCCGCUCCAUUUACCGGAGCGAUCUGGGGGGUGGGGGAGCGGCGGAGCCAGGAGCUAGCCAGCUGAUUGUGAACUCGAGCCGCAGCUCGCCAUCAUCGAAACCGGAGUAAACCAAGACGAGAUUCAGUUGUGCUGAGGUCUGCAUAGAAGUAUAAAGAGGCAAGGACGAAAAGGGAACCGAAGACGAACCAGUUACCAAGGGAGAGACAUGGAGCACAGGGUGAACAGU